UCGCACUGUGGCAAAAUGCGAUUUCCUCAAUCAGUCAGUCCACACCAGUUUCAAGCUCAUACGUUACUGUAUAACCAAAAAUAAUUCUGCGGCUAAAAAUUGCAGAAUCCAUUGAAGCAGCCAUGGAUAUUCGACUUCGAAUCAGAAGCCUUUAUUCUCACACAUGUCUCAAUCUCACAUCAAAUUCCAAAUUUCUGAAACCGCGCUGCGUCAGAGGGCCGCCUUCCCAGCAAAAUGACGACAACACUAACAACGAUGAUAAAUCCUCAAGAGACUGGGAUAAAGCAUGGACCAGCUUCAAAAAGAAGGGAAAGAAGACAUUGUUCUCAGGUUUCUCACCAAACAAAUACGUGAGCUGGAACCCGAGGUGGUCGGAGUAUCCGCUGUCGGAGGAGGUGGACCCCAUAAAAAGAAGCGAGAGAUCGAAUCUUAUGCUAUGGACUAGUCCAAGGUGUACUCUGUUUGGAGCGAUUAUCAUUGUUACUUUUCUUCUUGUCUAUACAAUUCUUUACCCCCUUAAAUGAACCCUUUCAUCUUCCAAUUCUGUAAAUUCCUUCUAAUGGAAAUAUUCUACAUUUUGCUACAUAUAUGAGCAAAAUGAAAAAAACUCUGGAUGAUAUGAUUAUUUACUUCAGAUUAAAAGGUGACGAUUCAAUUCAAACAUCUUAGAUAUUGUAUCAA